rnacentral:rRNA from 1 species
GACGAACGCUGGCGGCGUGCUUAACACAUGCAAGUCGAACGGAAAGGCCCUGCUUUUGUGGGGUGCUCGAUUGGCGAACGGGUGAGUAACACGUGAGUAACCUGCCCUUGACUUUGGGAUAACUUCAGGAAACUGGGGCUAAUACCGGAUAGGAGCUCCUGCUGCAUGGUGGGGGUUGGAAAGUUUCGGCGGUUGGGGAUGGACUCGCGGCUUAUCAGCUUGUUGGUGGGGUAGUGGCGUACCAAGGCUUUGACGGGUAGCCGGCCUGAGAGGGUGACCGGCCACAUUGGGACUGAGAUACGGCCCAGACUCCUACGGGAGGCAGCAGUGGGGAAUAUUGCACAAUGGGCGGAAGCCUGAUGCAGCAACGCCGCGUGCGGGAUGACGGCCUUCGGGUUGUAAACCGCUUUCGCCUGUGACGAAGCGUGAGUGACGGUAAUGGGUAAAGAAGCACCGGCUAACUACGUG